GACAUCGCUGCCCGCACGAGAACACGAGGGUUCCGCCGCCGCCGCCGCUGCACCCACAUCCAUCCUCUCCGCGAUGCCCGUCCUCGCUCCGCCGUCGUCGAAUCCGGUCGAGAUCGUCAGGAUUCGCCGCAUCUCGCGCGACGCCCAUCCCGUGCACCCAGCCCCCGCCAACGACGGGCGCCCAGCACCAUCGACAGCGCGCGCCUCCAACAUCCACCUCCCUAGAAGAGCCUAGCCUAGCCCGGCCAUCACACGCCCGUGGCUGUGGCCAACAACAACCUCCAGGCUGCAUCAGCGUUCGGUGAAUCUACUCCAAUGAGUGAAUCAUAGCCACCAAUAAACAGGCACCCAGUGAAGAUAUCACACUUUGAUGUGAAGUGCCUGAGAUCACAUUCAUCAGCAGGAAGGUUCAAGAUGUUCCGCAUCAAAGGCAUCGGCAGUGCUACAAGAGUUGAAGAAAGACGAGGUUUUUGGUGUUGUUACUACUAUCUGUGAAGUGUCAAACCUGCCGAAGAAGGCAUGCCUAUUUUUCUCGUUGUGUUCUGAUGCCGAUAAAUAAACCCAAGUGUGAGAGAAAUGUUGGCGAACAGAUAACAAAGCUAUCCGGACUGAUGUUAGAAAAUUAUUAUGGUAACAAUAAACUAUACUAUGUUUUAGGGAACUAUAUAACAAAGCCAUUUACUGUGGUAAUAAAAAGCAGUACAGUCAAUCCUGUACCUUUACAACCGAGAAACAGGGGAUAUGUUGUGGAAAAAAGGCAUAUGAUAAAAGCACAGACUUAAAAUGAAUGCUCAUGUUUUCUUUCUAUAAAAGAGAACUCUUAUCAUAUUGUGAUUGAUUACAAAGACUACACUUAAUUGAUUUGUGUUCUGUUAGGAAGAAAAUAUGUUGUUGACGGGGAUUUUAAAAAGCUUGAGGUGGUACCGAACAGGAAACAGUUCAUGGAGUUAUUCGAGGUAUCAUCCUUUUGAUAUAGAGGUGACAUUCCCAUUGUGUACUGCAAACUUGAACUGGUACCUUCUGAACUGAACUUGAACACUUGCAUGCUUCUGAACUAAAUUUUGAAGACAUGCAGGCAACUUCAUUUCAAGCAUCGGGUUGACUUGAGGCCUGACACCAGUGAGGUCAGAGACGACAGUUCAUCGUGGUGGCUGUCCAGGAAUCCAGAAAAAAUAGCACGUCUCUCUCCGUCGCGUGAGCGUUGAAUCAGUCGUGUGAAAUUUCUAUGCCCAAUACGUGCCCGGGCGUCGCCGCCACUCCGUGCCUGCCGCAACGUCAACCCUCCCAUUUCUGCACUGUCGCCACCACCGGCCGGUAGCCCGUGCAACCACCUCAAGCGUCCUCCACCGCCCAUGCCAUGUCCCCUAUGUGACGCGGGAUCUGCCUCAUGGGGCGAGGAAACCAGAACCUCGGCCGCCAUCUCACAUGUGACGGCGUGCACCUCAGUGUGCGGUGAGAAUGAUGCAUUUUCCCAAUGGGACAUCUUUCUUUAGCAAACGUUAUGUUCUUACAAGGAUAGUUUACAAGAUCGUGGUAUUAUCAUAACAGGAGUAGCCAUUGAGACAUCAGGUGAUCCUUAUGAGCAGAACCAUCAUGACAAACAAACGGGUCAAUAGAAUUCAUAAAGUUGCAGUUUAUUUGCUCUAUUCAAUAAUGCUUUCAGUUUGAAUGAAAA